ACAGGGAGACCUGUAGGUCGAUGGGGGCAAGAGAAAGCUUUCAAACUUUAGGUUUACGGGAGUCAUGGGCUAUUAGCUCAGGUGGUUAGAGCGCACCCCUGAUAAGGGUGAGGUCCCUGGUUCGAGUCCAGGAUGGCCCACCUGUAUGGGAUAAUAUUCUAGCAUUGGCUCUGAGUUAUAAUAACAAGAGAGAAUGCUGGAAAAAGUUUCCAGCCAGAACCUUGAAAACUGCAUAGAAUUAAGAAGAGAAAGUAAA
rnacentral:tRNA from 1 species